GAUGAACGCUGGCGGCGUGCUUAACACAUGCAAGUCGAACGGAAAGGCCCAAGCUUGCUUGGGUACUCGAGUGGCGAACGGGUGAGUAACACGUGGGUGAUCUGCCCUGCACUUCGGGAUAAGCCUGGGAAACUGGGUCUAAUACCGGAUAGGACCACGUCUUGGAUGUUGUGGUGGAAAGUUUUUUCGGUGUGGGAUGAGCUCGCGGCCUAUCAGCUUGUUGGUGGGGUAAUGGCCUACCAAGGCGUCGACGGGUAGCCGGCCUGAGAGGGUGUACGGCCACAUUGGGACUGAGAUACGGCCCAGACUCCUACGGGAGGCAGCAGUGGGGAAUAUUGCACAAUGGGCGCAAGCCUGAUGCAGCGACGCCGCGUGGGGGAUGACGGCCUUCGGGUUGUAAACUCCUUUCGCUAGGGACGAAGCGUUUUUGUGACGGUACCUGGAGAAGAAUCACCGGCUAACUACGU
rnacentral:rRNA from 1 species